rnacentral:rRNA from 1 species
GAUGAACGCUGGCGGCGUGCUUAACACAUGCAAGUCGAGCGAGAAAAGUUCUUCGGAGCUUUUCUAGCGGCGGACGGGUGAGUAACACGUGGGCAACCUGCCUCAUAGAGGGGAAUAGCCUUCCGAAAGGAAGAUUAAUACCGCAUAACAUUGUUGAAAGGCAUCUUUUAACAAUCAAAGGAGCAAUCCGCUAUGGGAUGGGCCCGCGGCGCAUUAGCUAGUUGGUGAGGUAACGGCUCACCAAGGCGACGAUGCGUAGCCGACCUGAGAGGGUGAUCGGCCACAUUGGAACUGAGACACGGUCCAGACUCCUACGGGAGGCAGCAGUGGGGAAUAUUGCACAAUGGGGGAAACCCUGAUGCAGCAACGCCGCGUGAGUGAUGAAGGUCUUCGGAUUGUAAAGCUCUGUCUUUAGGGACGAUAAUGACGGUACCUAAGGAGGAAGCCACGGCUAACUACGUGCCAGCAGCCGCCGUAAGAC